GACACACCGUCGCGAAUGUGAGGUGGUAUUUGUUUUAUCCUGUUGUUUUAAAAAGUAAAUGAAAAUGCCGAUAAGACCAGAUCUUCAGCAGUUGGAAAAGUGCAUUGAUGAUUUUUUAAGAAAAAAUGAUUUUAAACCUUUGAAAAGCCUUUUACAAAUGGAUGUUUAUGAAGAUGUGAAAAUUAAAUGCAGCAAACAAUUUUUAAACAAGUUGGAUGACCUUAUAUGCAGGGAGCUAAAUAAAAAGGAUUCUCAAACUGUUUCUACCAUUUUGGUUUCUGUUGGAAGAUGUAUUAAAAAUAUCUGUAUUUUGGGACAAAUUGGACUUCUGAUUAUGCUAAAACAAGGACUAGUUCAAAAGAU